GUCUGUUUUGUUAUAACCUUAGAGUUAUCUUUAUUCCAAUUAAGUCCUGAACUUAGUGUUAUGGUAAAACUUCUAUUUUACCCUAGAUUUCACAUAUUCUUAUACUCCCCCCUCAAGCCUUGGAAUACACAUUGUGAAUUCCUAGCUUGACUGAGAAUUUUGAAAUCUCAUGUUCACCUAGGGAUUUGGUGAAUAUAUCUGCAAGUUGGUACUUGGUCCCAACUUGUUUUAGGAGAAUUAUCCCCUUUUCUAUCAUUUCUCUGAUUGAAU
rnacentral:lncRNA from 1 species